GGAAGACCAAGCACAGCAUCAAAAAAAGAAUGAGCACGGUGAAUCCCUGCAAAUGGGAGAGGGCCAGAGAGGCUGAACGCACUAAGUCAAGGCAAAAGAAGAAACAUGUGGACCUUCAGUGGAAGCAAGUGUCAGGUUUUCAGAACAAGAUUGUGCCAGCUUCAGGAAAUGGUUUUUGAAUUUCUCCAUAUUUGGUACAGACAACUUAAAUGCUAUGCAGCUGGUUUGAGCCUUAUCUUCUUGGUGAUUUUUGGAAGGUAAAUCAUUUGGGCUCAUGAGGAACAGAGGAGCCAAACCACUAUUGAGAAGAUUGCUGUUCACCAUUUUGACAACCACACAAGCCACAGAUGAUACUCUCAGAUUCUAAAGCCUGCCUCCAUUCUCUGGCUGUGGCCCCUUCCUCCAUCUUCAAAUCUAGCAGUUCUGCGAAAAUCUUUCUUAUGAUGCAUUUCUCUGGUUCCAACUCCUCUGCCUCCCCUUUCACCAUUUAAGGACCCUCUGAUUAAACUGGACUCACCCAGAAAAUCCAGGAUAAUCUUCUCAUUUUAACAUCAGCUGAUUGGCAACCUUGCUUCCAUCUGCUACCUGAAUUCCCUUAGCCAUGUAACCUAACAUAUUCACAAGUUCUGGAGAAGAAGAAAUGUACUUCUUUGGAGUGACAGAGGGACUAGCUACUACACACUGGAAGAAUCAAAUAUUCAAUAUGAGGUUAUUGACACAAGGAAGAACACAUACAAGAAUUUCAUGUAAAAGGGGUCUAAGAAUGACCAGGAGUUAAUGCGGUAAAGAGAGCAUGAAAGAACAUUUCAAUCCCCAGGAACAGUGCGAGCAAAGGAAUGAAGUGAAGAGAGGAAAUCAAGUCUGGGUUAUCUGACUUACUGCUGAGUGAUUUUACAGCUUGGAAAUAACACUUCUCUGGUAGCCAGGUUCUCCAGAAGUGUGCUUGUGAGCUCACAGGUUUGUCAUUGGUUCUGUUUAGGGUCCAAUGUUACAUGUCAUUCAUUCUCUGCUUUCCUCCAGACGGGAAGUUCUCAAUUAGUGUUACAAUGGGAUGGGACCCAUAUAUUGGAAAUAAAG
rnacentral:lncRNA from 1 species